ensembl:lncRNA
ACACAAAAAAUCAGCUGUGCUUAAAGGAUCAUUUCCGAAGAACCAACACUGGUUUGUGAGAAUCACUGAGUUUCUUCAGAUCAGGUAAAUCUGUACAGUAAAUGUGUCUGAUAAUUUCACAUUUCCACAGCAUGAACACAAAACCUCCAAUCCCUCCAUCUUAUAUAGAAGCAAAAAAUGUCUUUAACUGCAUGUAUGGCAGGUGCCUGGAAUGCCUCAGCCAAGGACUCAGCAAACAGGAAAAGAUAAAUAUCAUUGGAAGGCAGCUUUUGCCUGUCAUUUCUGGAUAAUGCUCUAUUUCUUUUUGCUAACUAUAAAAACAAAUGCAGAAUUUGUGGUAGGGGAUUGAUGGGACAAGUAUUUUAAAUGCUGACUCUCAGCUAUAUAUCUCCUAUUAAUACUGUAUGAUCCCUGUUUCAAUCAAGGUAACAUUAAACACCAUCCGGAUGAUGUUUUCCCAGAAAGAUAAAAAUUCAAAAUCAUAAUGAUUUUUUACUUUAUGCAUCAGUUUGCUGUGUUGCCUUGCUGAUGUCAAAUACUGCCUAUUGUAAAACCAAUUAUAUAUGCACUCUUUUGGGAGAAGACAGUAAAAAGUAAAUUGUAAGACUAAACAAAAGUUACAGUAAAUACAAUUUCGAAAAAAAAAACGUUACUGACUAAGACUCUCACCAUUUUGGAAUAGAGUUGUUACUUCAGACAUCUCUGGCGAGCCAAAAAAUUAUAGUGUGCAAGAUGUAAACCAUACAAUCCCCUACUGCAACAAGAGUCUUCAGAAUUUGGACUAAGUUGAUUGCUUCUGCUGGGAGAACACAAAAAAAGGCCUUUCCUGAUCUUUUUUUAUCACAAGUUUGAAAUACAAAACCAGAUUUUUUUUUUUUUUUUUUUAAGAGAUUUCAUAAGUUAUCUGCAAUAUUACAUCUAUUGAUGUCAUGUAGCUGCUUUGUUUUGUUUUGUUUUGUUUUUUUGGUCACUUCAUUUGGAGCUUUUUUGUUGUGUUAAAUGAAGACUGCACACAAAGAGUUCAAGGAUUCAUAUUGAACAAAACAAAGUAUCUGUGCAAUCCUUUGAUAUAGCUUUUGCUUUUUUUAUACCAGAUGCUUCCUAUAAAACACAAGUAUUCACAAGCUGGACAACAGUUUACUAAUCUCUCAGCAGAGACUUCAUUUUCUUUAGCUAACCACUGCAAAGAUUAUUCCCUUCAUUCCUGAUAACCACACAUCAUCAUCAGUUCCCUCCCGCUCCCCCUUUUAUUGUGCACAAAAACAGGAAUCUUGCUUAAAUGGAAAAUGAAACCCAUGGCAAAUUCAGUGAAAGAAUAAUCCCUUUGGUUCCUCACCUCAGCAAUAGGAGUCUUUCACUUCAAUUAUUUUUUCUUUUCUUUUUUCAACUGUUUUUUGUGUUAUUUGUUUGUUUCUCAUAGUGGGAAAACAAUUGUGCAGUAUAUCUAAAUGUUUCUCAGGUGAUAAAACACCCAUUUUAUUCUUAUUUCUCAGUAAUAAAACACCCAAUUCAGCAUG